GGACGACGCUGCGGCACUGCCUAAUACAUAGCAAGUCGAGCGAACAGAUGAAGUGCUUGCACUUCUGACGUUAGCGGCGAACGGGUGAGUAACACGUAAGGAAUCUACCUAUAAGCGGGGGAUAACAUUCGAAACGGUGCUAAUACCGCAUAAUAUCUUCUUCCGCAUGGAAGAAGAUUGAAAGACGGCUCUGCUGUCACUUAUAGAUGACCUUGCGGUGCAUUAGUUAGUUGGUGGGGUAACGGCCUACCAAGACGAUGAUGCAUAGCCGACCUGAGAGGGUGAUCGGCCACAUUGGGACUGAGACACGGCCCAAACUCCUACGGGAGGCAGCAGUAGGGAAUCUUCCGCAAUGGGCGAAAGCCUGACGGAGCAAUGCCGCGUGAGUGAAGAAGGCCUUCGGGUCGUAAAACUCUGUUAUAAGAGAAGAACAAAUUGUAGGGUAACUGCUACAGUCUUGACGGUAUCUUAUCAGAAAGCCACGGCUAACUACGUG
rnacentral:rRNA from 1 species